CGAUGGAGGGGGAUAACUACUGGAAACGGUAGCUAAUACCGCAUAACGUCGCAAGACCAAAGAGGGGGACCUUAGGGCCUCUUGCCAUCGGAUGUGCCCAGAUGGGAUUAGCUAGUAGGUGGGGUAAUGGCUCACCUAGGCGACGAUCCCUAGCUGGUCUGAGAGGAUGACCAGCCACACUGGAACUGAGACACGGUCCAG
rnacentral:rRNA from 1 species